CAGAUGUAGGUCAUGGUGAUGGAGGACCCGGGGCAGACAUAGAGCGUGGUGAUGGAGGACCUGGGGCAGAUGUAGAGAGUGGUGAUGGAGGACUUGGGGCAGACCUAGAGCGUGGUGCUGGAGGACCUGGGGCAGAUGUAGAGCGUGGUGAUGGAGGACCUGGGGCAGAUGUAGAGAGUGGUGAUGGAGGACUUGGGGCAGACCUAGAGCGUGGUGCUGGAGGACCUGGGGCAGAUGUAGAGCGUGGUGAUGGAGGACCUGGGGCAGAUGUAGAGAGUGGUGAUGGAGGACUUGGGGCAGACCUAGAGCGUGGUGCUGGAGGACCUGGGGCAGAUGUAGGUCAUGGUGAUGGAGGACCCGGGGCAGACAUAGAGCGUGGUGAUGGAGGACCUGGGGCAGAUGUAGAGAGUGGUGAUGGAGGACUUGGGGCAGACCUAGAGCGUGGUGCUGGAGGACCUGGGGCAGAUGUAGAGCGUGGUGAUGGAGGACCUGGGGCAGAUGUAGAGAGUGGUGAUGGAGGACUUGGGGCAGACCUAGAGCGUGGUGCUGGAGGACCUGGGGCAGAUGUAGAGCGUGGUGAUGGAGGACCUGGGGCAGACGUAGAGUGUGUUGAUGGAGGACCUGGGGUAGACCUAGAGCGUGGUGAUGGAGGACCUGGGGCAGACCUAGAGCAUGGUGAUGGAGGACCUG